GUGCAGGCGUCUGCGCCUCCAGCGUACCAGCCCAGCCCUCAAGAAGGUGGCCUUCACCUUCUUCUGUUCCGGCGAUGCCCUCGGCAUAAGCUAUUGGGCUGUGGGCAACCUGUGCUUCUUUUGCGGCCCCCAAUAGCACCAGCACGCCACAGCUCAUCGUGCCAAAAAGCACUGCUGCAACCUACAGCCGGAGAUGAGGAUGUGCGCCAUUAUUGAUCGUUCGGACCCGGACGCGAUGCUGGCAGAGCUUGAGCGGCCAAUGUCGGUCGCUGACGUUCAUACGACGCUCGACGUGCUAGCUGUGGCAGGACGGAACAUAGCAGCAUGGCAUACCGUCGGUGUCGCUUCUCCGCGCCCUAGUGCGUUACAGCCCAGAAUUCUUGCCCGGGCAGCGUGUCAUCGUCUGCAAUAAUACUGCUCCGACUGGGCAGCAGGCGGUGGAGGAGGCGCGUGUUGGCGUUGUCUGUAAAAUGAUAUGCGG
rnacentral:lncRNA from 1 species